GCACAUACGCUGACGAGUGGCGGACGGGUGAGUAAUGCUUGGGAACUUGCCUUUGCGAGGGGGAUAACAGUUGGAAACGACUGCUAAUACCGCAUAAUGUCUUCGGACCAAACGGGGCUUCGGCUCCGGCGCAAAGAGAGGCCCAAGUGAGAUUAGCUAGUUGGUAAGGUAACGGCUUACCAAGGCGACGAUCUCUAGCUGUUCUGAGAGGAAGAUCAGCCACACUGGGACUGAGACACGGCCCAGACUCCUACGGGAGGCAGCAGUGGGGAAUAUUGCACAAUGGGGGAAACCCUGAUGCAGCCAUGCCGCGUGUGUGAAGAAGGCCUUCGGGUUGUAAAGCACUUUCAGUUGUGAGGAAAAGUUAGUAGUUAAUACCUGCUAGCCGUGACGUUAACAACAGAAGAAGCACCGGCUAACUCCGUGCCAGCAGCCGCGGUAAUACGGAGGGUGCGAGCGUUAAUCGGAAUUACUGGGCGUAAAGCGCACGCAGGCGGUUUGUUAAGCUAGAUGUGAAAGCCCCGGGCUCAACCUGGGAUGGUCAUUUAGAACUGGCAGACUAGAGUCUUGGAGAGGGGAGUGGAAUUCCAGGUGUAGCG
rnacentral:rRNA from 1 species